rnacentral:rRNA from 1 species
GACGAACGCUGGCGGCGUGCUUAACACAUGCAAGUCGAACGGAAAGGCCCUGCUUUUGUGGGGUGCUCGAGUGGCGAACGGGUGAGUAACACGUGAGUAACCUGCCCUUGACUUUGGGAUAACUUCAGGAAACUGGGGCUAAUACCGGAUAGGAGCUCCUGCUGCAUGGUGGGGGUUGGAAAGUUUCGGCGGUUGGGGAUGGACUCGCGGCUUAUCAGCUUGUUGGUGGGGUAGUGGCUUACCAAGGCUUUGACGGGUAGCCGGCCUGAGAGGGUGACCGGCCACAUUGGGACUGAGAUACGGCACAGACUGCUACGGGAGGCAGCAGUGGGGAAUAUUGCACAAUGGGCGGAAGCCUGAUGCAGCGACGCCGCGUGCGGGAUGACGGCCUUCGGGUUGUAAACCGCUUUCGCCUGUGACGAAGCGUGAGUGACGGUAAUGGGUAAAGAAGCACCGGCUAACUACGUG